rnacentral:rRNA from 1 species
AACGAACGCUGGCGGCGUGGAUAAGACAUGCAAGUCGAACGGAGUGACUUCGGUCACUGAGUGGCGCACGGGUGAGUAACACGUGAGCAACCUGCCCCUGAGACAGGGAUAGCCCCGGGAAACUGGGAUUAAUACCUGAUGGUCUCGCAAGAGUAAAGUAGCAAUACGCUCAGGGAGGGGCUCGCGGCCUAUUAGUUAGUUGGCGGGGUAACGGCCCACCAAGGCGAUGACGGGUAGCCGGUCUGAGAGGAUGUCCGGCCACACUGGAACUGAGACACGGUCCAGACACCUACGGGUGGCAGCAGUCGAGAAUCAUUCACAAUGGGGGAAACCCUGAUGGUGCGACGCCGCGUGGGGGAGGAAGGUCUUCGGAUUGUAAACCCCUGUCAUGUGGGAGCAAGGCGCAAGCUUG